GGCNGGAGCAAGCGUUGUUCGGAUUUACUGGGCGUAAAGGGCGCGUAGGCGGCCACCGCAAGUCGACUGUGAAAUCUCCGGGCUUAACCCGGAAAGGUCAGCCGAUACUGCGGGACUAGAGUGCAGAAGGGGCAACUGGAAUUCUCGGUGUAGCGAUGAAAUGCGUAGAUAUCGAGAGGAACACCUGCGGCGAAGGCGGGUUGCUGGGCUGACACUGACGCUGAUGCGCGAAAGCUAGGGGAGCGAACGGGAUUAGAUACCCCGGUAGUCCUAGCCUUAAACGAUGAAUGCUUGGUGUCUGGGGUUUUAUAGUCCCCGGGUGCCGUCGCUAACGCUUUAAGCAUUCCGCCUGGGGAGUACGGUCGCAAGACUG
rnacentral:rRNA from 1 species